CAGGAGCUUUGAAUGAUGUCA
rnacentral:miRNA from 1 species